AUGAUGGAUCCAACAGAGAUACUAAAUGUUAGGUUUCAUUUUGGAGGUGAUUUCAUCCGAAUUGGUCCAAAAUUGGACUAUGUUGGGGGUGAUGAGGAGAAGUCAGAGAUUGAGAGAGACAAGCUCUCUUUGCAGGAGGUAAAAGGGUCUUUGAAAGAUCAUGUGCAGCUGAAGGAAUCAAUGAAAAUCUACUUUCAUAUUCCUGGCAUUGAAUUGGCUGAUGGUUUGGUGUUCUUGGAUAAUGACAGUAAAUGUGUUAAGAUGGGGGAUUACAUUUGUGUUGGAGAUGUGGCACAUAUUUAUGUUGAGUACCAUUGGGAGGAGGACAAUGAAGACAGUAGCAGUUGCAGUGAUUUUGAGGAUGAAAUUGUGCAGUUAAGUGAUGCUCCACCUGACAUUGUCACUGCUGAAGCUACUGACAGUGAAAAAGAAGUGGUAAUUUGUUGA
rnacentral:rRNA from 1 species